AAUCUGUCACAACGGCUUCCUGGCGUGGCAGUGAAAUCCAAUGGAGCG
rfam:Pelagicola litorisediminis strain CECT 8287 genome assembly, contig: 0003